CCCUAAUACCCUAUCACUUAACUCGACCCCAGCCUCAUUUCUCACUUCUUCAUUUCUUCGUUUUGCUCGACCUAAACCUGCCUCCCUCCCCAAAAUCAUCGAUCCCAGAUUCUAGCCCCUAAAAUCAUCAAAACCAUGGACAAAUCUCUCUUGCAAUAGGUCAUAUCCCAAAUCCCCAUCCUUAUUUCUCCACAAUUUCGACAGAUUCACCUUUGUUGUUUGAAAAUCCCCAAACCAUCGAAACCCUAAUUCUGGAAAAGUGUUGUUUCCUUCACCGAAAGGUCAAGAAGGUCAAGUGAAACCGUCCUCCAGUUCUGUGAUUUCGACGACUCCGGCAACCUGGCAAGGUGUUUUUGACUGAAAGAGAAGGCAGAAGGAGAGCGACUCCGGAAACUUUAGGUACUUUUGGAGCUAAAAACAACCAUUGCAGUAAAAAUAAAUCAAGGAGUCCAAGUGUGAUCAGUUGGACCAUACAUUUAGGAGCAUACGAUUGGGAGAAACCGCUGGACUUAGAUUGGAUGAACCAAGCUCUUCUACAACCACUGCUGCAACAUAAAGAAGGUGUCAAGGUGAUAAGUUUCAUGAGUUCUGGGCUGCUGCAUUCAUUUUGCUGCAGCAGCAUAAUGGAGCAAGAAGAUGAGGUCAUGCUGAUCGGAAGAUUAAAACAACCUCAUUGUGCUUAACUGCUGCUUUUGAUUUUCACUUGUAAUGGGACU